CCCUUAGAUGUUCUGGGCCGCACCCGCGCUACACUGAAGGAGGCAGCGUGUACUCCUGGAUCGAAAGAUUUGGGUAACCCGCGAAUCUCCUUCGUGCUAGGGAUUGAGGUUUGCAAUUAUCCUUCAUGAACGAGGAAUUCCCAGUAAGUACAAGUCAUAAGCUUGCGCUGACUACGUCCCUGCCCUUUGUACACACCGCCCGUCGCUACUACCGAUUGAAUGAUUUAGUGAGGACUUCGGACUGGGACCGAUGCGGCUUUCGGGCUGCGUCGGUAUUCUGGAAAGAUGUCCAAACUGUAUCAUUUAGAGGAAGUAAAAGUCGUAACA
rnacentral:rRNA from 1 species